GGUGUGACUGCGUACCUUUUGUAUAAUGGGUCAGCGACUUAUAUUCUGUAGCAAGGUUAACCGUAUAGGGGAGCCGCAGGGAAACCGAGUCUUAACUGGGCGUUAAGUUGCAGGGUAUAGACCCGAAACCCGGUGAUCUAGCCAUGGGCAGGUUGAAGGUUGGGUAACACUAACUGGAGGACCGAACCGACUAAUGUUGAAAAAUUAGCGGAUGACUUGUGGCUGGGGGUGAAAGGCCAAUCAAACCGGGAGAUAGCUGGUUCUCCCCGAAAGCUAUUUAGGUAGCGCCUCGUGAACUCAUCUUCGGGGGUAGAGCACUGUUUCGGCUAGGGGGUCAUCCCGACUUACCAACCCGAUGCAAACUACGAAUACCGAAGAAUGUUAUCACGGGAGACACACGGCGGGUGCUAACGUCCGUCGUGAAGAGGGAAACAACCCAGACCGCCAGCUAAGGUCCCAAAGUCAUGGUUAAGUGGGAAACGAUGUGGGAAGGCACAGACAGCCAGGAUGUUGGCUUAGAAGCAGCCAUCAUUUAAAGAAAGCGUAAUAGCUCACUGGUCGAGUCGGCCUGCGCGGAAGAUGUAACGGGGCUAAACCAUGCACCGAAGCUGCGGCAGCGACACUAUGUGUUGUUGGGUAGGGGAGCGUUCUGUAAGCCUGCGAAGGUGACCUGUGAGGGUUGCUGGAGGUAUCAGAAGUGCGAAUGCUGACAUAAGUAACGAUAAAGCGGGUGAAAAGCCCGCUCGCCGGAAGACCAAGGGUUCCUGUCCAACGUUAAUCGGGGCAGGGUGAGUCGACCCCUAAGGCGAGGCCGAAAGGCGUAGUCGAUGGGAAACAGGUUAAUAUUCCUGUACUUGGUGUUACUGCGAAGGGGGGACGGAGAAGGCUAUGUUAGCCGGGCGACGGUUGUCCCGGUUUAAGCAUGUAGGCUGGUU
rnacentral:rRNA from 2 species